UACGGAGGGUGCAAGCGUUGUUCGGAAUCAUUGGGCGUAAAGCGCGUGUAGGCGGCUUUUUAAGUUUGGUGUGAAAGCCCGGGGCUUAACCCCGGAAGUGCACUGAAUACUGAUUAGCUAGAGGGUGAGAGAGGAUAGUGGAAUUCCUGGUGUAGGGGUGAAAUCCGUAGAUAUCAGGAGGAACAUCUGUGGCGAAGGCGGCUAUCUGGCUCACUUCUGACGCUGAGACGCGAAAGCGUGGGGAGCAAAC
rnacentral:rRNA from 1 species